rnacentral:tRNA from 1 species
GCGAAAGUAGUUCAGUGGUAGAACAUCACCUUGCCAUGGUGGGGGUCGCGGGUUCGAAUCCCGUCUUCCGCUCCA